rnacentral:rRNA from 1 species
UACGUAGGCGGCCAUAUAAGUCAGAAGUGAAAGGCUACGGCUUAACCGUAGUAAGCUUGUGAAACUGUAUGGCUUGAGUGCGGGAGAGGAAAGCGGAAUUCCUAGUGUAGCGGUGAAAUGCGUAGAUAUUAGGAAGAACACCAGUAGCGAAGGCGGCUUUCUGGACUGAAACUGACGCUGAGGUACGAAAGCGUGGGGAGCGAACAGGAUUAGAUCCCCUGGUAGUCC